GUCACUUCACACAAUUAUACACGAUUAAUUACAGUCAUCAAGUAGCAGCACCACAUGAAGAUGAUUGGGAAGAAGAUUAUGAAGCGCUCUUCCUCUUCUUCUUCCGUCACACUAGCUAUGGCAAUCAUGGCCAUCAUAUUCCUUUGCUGCUUCCUGCCAUGCUCGGUGGCCAUCCAAGUUCAUCCAGAUGGAGACCAUGAGGGAGUGGGUCCUCCAUCACCAAAACCCGGGUCUCCGUGGAAGAAAUUGCCGCCACCACACCGCAAGACCCUGCAGGCUGUUGCGAAUGCCCCUCCAUGCGUAUGGCGCACCACCGAUGCGAUGGCCAUCUCUCCAUAAAAGCAUGUACAAUCUUUUUUUAAGGAUAAUAAGGGAAGGAAAACCCUCUCGCACUUUAGUGUCAGUGUUAGUGUCUGAGUGAUUUUAUCAUUUUGCUUGACUCUUCCAUACAGUGUUAAAGGUCCUAGCUAGAGUCUAGCUAGCGCCCGUUGUUCAGAUGGAUGUAUCGUUUAUGGAGUUGGAUAAGAACCGUGAGGGGGCUGGA